CCCAGACUCCUACGGGAGGCAGCAGUGAGGAAUAUUGGUCAAUGGCCGGAAGGCUGAACCAGCCAAGCCGCGUGAGGGAGGAAGGCGCAGAGCGUCGCAGACCUCUUUUGCCGGGGGACAAAAGGCCGGACUCGUCCGGUCCUGAGGGUACCCGGAGAAAAAGCAUCGGCUAACUCCGUGCCAGCAGCCGCGGUAAUACGGAGGAUGCGAGCGUUAUCCGGGUUUAUUGGGUUUAAAGGGUGCGUAGGUGGUUAAUUAAGUCAGCGGUGAAAGUUUGUGGCUCAACCAUAAAAUUGCCGUUGAAACUGGUUGACUUGAGUAUAUUUGAGGUAGGCGGAAUGCGUGGUGUAGCGGUGAAAUGCAUAGAUAUCACGCAGAACUCCGAUUGCGAAGGCAGCUUACUAAACGAUAACUGACACUGAGGCACGAAAGCGUGGGGAUCAAACAGGAUUAGAUACCCCCGUAUCA
rnacentral:rRNA from 1 species